GUCACAUGUGUGGCCCAAUUGCUCAGAAAAAAUGCGAAAAUCCUGCAUUGUCAAUCUUUUGCGACGCUGGACAUCUUUCACAGAAUGGUGCGAAUAUCGUGUAUUCAUAUCUGAUACCAUCUCUCAGCCAACUCCUUUAGGUUGCUAAAAACUGAGAAAUUAAAUUGGGUUCUCAUCAGUUGCAACUUGGCUGGGAUCACGCACGAUGAUCAUUGCGGGGAUUUUUUUUCUUUAUCACUUGUUAGUCGCAAAAUGAUAUACAGCUCUGUUUUCAUUAAGAGCUGGGAGAUUGUGAGCUGGGCUAUUAUUGUAUAUCAUUUGGCUUUAGAAAGCUUGUGUGCUAGUUUGUAUUCUUACUAUUAUUGAAAAAAAAAUUAGCUUGUAUUCUUAUCUCUUUUCGGUCCAAUUUCUGUUGUCAUUAAGGUAUACACCUCUAAAACACAUCUCAUGCAACUCAUGGCAUUUAUGAAAUGCGAACAAAAUUAUGACAUAUCUUUCACCAAUUCAAUAUCCCAAAUAAAGAUGGUAUCUAUAAACAAAAAAAUGACUCACCAAUAUAUGCUUUGAUGAAAAUGAGAAUAUAAUUGACGCCAAGCUAUAUGUUGGCGAGUUUGAAGGUUCUCAAAUGGCAGAAUCCAAGUAAGCAGCAGACACACCAAAUGGAGGAUAACCCUACCAAAGCCCAUGAUUAUUAUCAAGAAGUAGAUUUCAUGGAUUACAUGUUAUAGCCAAGUGCCAUAUGCAUGGCCUUUGACUACUCACUCUUCACCUCAAAUACUCGUCACCUCUCUCCCCUCUCUUUCUUUGCCUACCUUUUUCUUGAUUUCUUCUUCAAUUCCUCUCUCUCCGAACCCUUCACUCUCUUUGUUUUUUUUUUCCAUAACUUUUUUCUUCUCUGCUACCAUGGCUGUGGCAGAGCAAACCACAUCCCCUGCUACUGCUAAAUAUACAAAGACAAGCAGUCGUUUACACUCCUCACAGCUCUCACAUUCAUCAACCAGUCCCUCUUUUCACUUUCGUCGCUCGUUUAGACCAAUCCCUCGUGCCCAAAACUUCAAAUCACUUGCUCUGUCAAUCAAGUUCCAGACUUCCAGCCCCGGUUGCAGUUCAGACCGAAGAAGCCAAGAACAAGUCUGAACGCUUCGGUGUUUUCUGCCAAACAUACGAUCUCGAAGCUCUUGCAUCUGGUGAGGUUUUUGGGCCUGAUCAGCCCGUUGCAUGGAAACUACUGGGAUCUGAAAGAUCAUUCCAAGCUCUGGAAGGUAUUGUCUUGAGUUCAUAUCCUCGUAAGAAAUUUAGAGGAUCAAGAUAAGAAUGUUUUACUAUCUGGCGAGCAGUAGGUAAUCGAGCGCAUGUACCAAAUUCUUGAUGGUGUUUUAUGCAUGGAGCUCAAGAUACAUAAUUAAAUUAAUCAUAAAGAAAAGGGAUGAAAAUUUCCUCAAACCAUUGCACAUAAAAGCAACAGGCAUAGUUAUGGAGCAAUCCUGGAAAGGCAUAAUUGGAC